rnacentral:rRNA from 1 species
ACACUCCUACGGGAGGCAGCAGUGGGGAAUAUUGCACAAUGGGCGCAAGCCUGAUGCAGCCAUGCCGCGUGUAUGAAGAAGGCCUUCGGGUUGUAAAGUACUUUCAGCGGGGAGGAAGGCGAUAAGGUUAAUAACCUUGUCGAUUGACGUUACCCGCAGAAGAAGCACCGGCUAACUCCGUGCCAGCAGCCGCGGUAAUACGGAGGGUGCAAGCGUUAAUCGGAAUUACUGGGCGUAAAGCGCACGCAGGCGGUCUGUCAAGUCGGAUGUGAAAUCCCCGGGCUCAACCUGGGAACUGCAUUCGAAACUGGCAGGCUAGAGUCUUGUAGAGGGGGGUAGAAUUCCGGGUGUAGCGGUGAAAUGCGUAGAGAUCUGGAGGAAUACCGGUGGCGAAGGCGGCCCCCUGGACAAAGACUGACGCUCAGGUGCGAAAGCGUGGGGAGCAAACAGGAUUAGAUACCCGGGUAGUCCCAUGA